rnacentral:rRNA from 1 species
GAUGAACGCUGGCGGCGUGCCUAAUACAUGCAAGUCGAGCGAACAGACGAGGAGCUUGCUCCUCUGACGUUAGCGGCGGACGGGUGAGUAACACGUGGAUAACCUCCCUAUAAGACUGGGAUAACUUCGGGAAACCGGCGCUAAUACCGGAUAAUAUAUUGAACCGCAUGGUUCAAUAGUGAAAGACGGUUUUGCUGUCACUUAUAGAUGGAUCCGCGCCGCAUUAGCUAGUUGGUAAGGUAACGGCUUACCAAGGCAACGAUGCGUAGCCGACCUGAGAGGGUGAUCGGCCACACUGGAACUGAGCCACGGUCCAGACUCCUACGGGAGGCAGCAGUAGGGAAUCUUCCGCAAUGGGCGAAAGCCUGACGGAGCAACGCCGCGUGAGUGAUGAAGGUCUUCGGAUCGUAAAACUCUGUUAUUAGGGAAGAACAAAUGUGUAAGUAACUAUGCACGUCUUGACGGUACCUAAUCAGAAAGCCACGGCUAACUACGUG